rnacentral:rRNA from 1 species
GAUGAGCGCUGGCGGCGUGCCUAAUACAUGCAAGUCGAGCGAACAGACGAGGAGCUUGCUCCUCUGACGUUAGCGGCGGACGGGUGAGUAACACGUGGAUAACCUACCUAUAAGACUGGGAUAACUUCGGGAAACCGGAGCUAAUACCGGAUAAUAUAUUGAACCGCAUGGUUCAAUAGUGAAAGACGGUUUUGCUGUCACUUAUAGAUGGAUCCGCGCCGCAUUAGCUAGUUGGUAAGGUAACGGCUUACCAAGGCAACGAUGCGUAGCCGACCUGAGAGGGUGAUCGGCCACACUGGAACUGAGACACGGUCCAGACUCCUACGGGAGGCAGCAGUAGGGAAUCUUCCGCAAUGGGCGAAAGCCUGACGGAGCAACGCCGCGUGAGUGAUGAAGGUCUUCGGAUCGUAAAACUCUGUUAUUAGGGAAGAACAAAUGUGUAAGUAACUAUGCACGCCUUGACGGUACCUAAUCAGAAAGCCACGGCUAACUACGUG